GACGAACGCUGGCGGCGUGCUUAACACAUGCAAGUCGAACGGAAAGGCCCUGCUUUUGUGGGUUGCUCGAGUGGCGAACGGGUGAGUAACACGUGAGUAACCUGCCCUUGACUUUGGGAUAACUUCAGGAGACUGGGGCUAAUACCGGAUAGGAGCUCCUGCUGCAUGUUGGGGGAUGGAAAGUUUCGGCGGUUGGGGAUGGACUCGCUGCUUAUCAGCUUGUUUGUGGGGUAGUGGCUUACCAAGGCUUUGACGGGUAGCCGGCCUUAGAGGGUUACCGGAGCCAUGAGGACUGCGAGACGCACCAGAAUCGUACGGGAGGCAGAAGGGGAGAACAUUACGAAACGGGCCGAAGCCAGAUGCAGAAACGCCGGGUGCGGGAUGACGGCUUUCGGGUGGUAAACAGAUUUGGCCUGUGACGAAGCGUGAGUGACGGUAAUGGGUAAAGAAGCACCGGCUAACUACGUG
rnacentral:rRNA from 1 species